GAGUGAGACUCUGGCUAGGUUUGUCUGUCCGCAUUGGCACGAGCUAUAGAAUCCUAUUAGACUGAGUGCAGCUGCACGUCACAUCUCGCCAUGCGUUCUGGCCAAUUGAGAAUCCACGUCUUCAUUAAGCUGUCCAAAGCGCGUACGUAUACAUCGGGCAAAUACGUAGAGAGAAAGCCUUAUUUGGGUAUAACAUGAAAGAGUUUGGAGAGGGAGAGGUGGGAGGGGACGUUUGUAUAUCGUUUGUUUUAAAUAAUUAUUCUGGGGGCUCUUGUCACAUUUGACACGACAAAGGGUUCAAUUGAGGAUACGGCUUUUUUUUCUUCUGCAUUGCUCAUGCGACCUAAGCCGGAUUGGCCAGGGAUUUUGCAUGGGAUACUGCUGCAAUUAUACGUUAUUUACUGUCAUUCAUCGACCCUCAAAUUAGAGUCUGCGUUUGAAUGCAAUAAAUCAAUUGUAAACAGUAUGAUAAUUUUUUAUUGUAUUGUUUUGACACUUCUUCUGAGGUUUUUUUUUCCUUGAAGAGGAGGUUGGAUUAUUUGUGUCUGCAGAACGUUAAAAAUAAGAAACUGGUGGAUAUUAAAAAAAUACAUUUGUUUGACUGUUUCUAAAUGAUUUAUUCGGUCCGAUUGAUAGGGGCAGCAAAAUCAAAAUGGCGGAUGCCGCCAUUUCAGGCGAGUAAUGUCAUCGGGCCAAGGGUUUAGAAAAAAACUUGCAUCUUUUAAAACAAAACUUUUGGUCAAGGAUACUAAAAGGUACAUAGGGUAUAUUCAAACACAUUUAUAUUCAAGGUUAUUCCACAAAUAGCUCUAAAUUGUUCAACCUUAUAGUAAAAAAAGGAAAUCAUGAAGUAAAUAUUUUUUUAUCUAAUAAAAGUUGGCAAAAAACAAUACAUGGCAAACAUAUAAACAGUCGCAAACCACCAAAUUAAGCCUAACACAUUUUGCCACCAUUAAGACUAUUCCAUGUGUGGAAUAGUAUAGGUAGUCUAUAAGUAAUAAUCACAGAAUAGAAGAAUUCAUUGGAAUGUUAAGAAUCGGUUGGAAUUUGAAUCUGAAUUUGGCCUGGGACUUAGAAAAUAACUACUAGAUCCAAAGCAAGGCCCGGAUAAUAAAAAAAAUUUAUGGAGCAAUGAAUACGAAUAUUCAGCAGAGCCAGAGGGAAACGGCACUGCAGUGUGCAGUGAGCCUGCUACAAGAGAAACAUUUGGGAAUUUGCGGACAAUAUUGUGUUUUCCUCCUGCUCAAAUAGCUCUAGGUGUGUGCGUGUGUGUGUGUGUGUGUGUGUGUGUGUGUGUGUGUGUGUGUGUGUGUGUGUGUGUGUGUUUGCGUGUGUGUUUGCGUGUGUGUGUGUGUUUUAACUUCAAUGAUGUGCUCAGAAACCUCCAACACUACUAUACUAUACUUCUACCCCCAUCGCUACUAUUAGUACCCCCACCACCACUCAUACUACAACCACCACCACCACCACCACUUAUACCAGUAUAUCACCCUUAAUACUACCACCACCACCAACACUUAUACUAGUCUAUCACCCUUAAUACUACCACCACCACCACCACCACCACUUAUACUAGUCUAUCACCCUUAAUACUACCACCACCACCACCACCACCACUUAUACUAGUCUAUCACCCUUAAUACUACCACCACCACCACCACCACCACUUAUACUAGUCUAUCACCCUUAAUACCACCACCACCACCGCCACUAAUACUAGUCUAUCACCCUUAAUACCACCACCACCACCACCACCUAUACUAGUCUAUCACCCUUAAUACCACCACCACCACCACUUAUACUAGUCUAUCACCCUUAAUACCACCACCACCACCACUUAUACUAGUCUAUCACCCUUAAUACCACCACCACCACCACCACCUAUACUAGUCUAUCACCCUUAAUACCACCACCACCACCACUUAUACUAGUCUAUCACCCUUAAUACCACCACCACCACCACCACCUAUACUAGUCUAUCACCCUUCACCAGCACCACUACCACCACCAGCUCCACAACCCCCCCAACAAUCAUCCCCACCCCCCCCAACACUGCACGCCUUCUACAAGGUGAAGGUGCGACAUCUCAUGCAUAAAACCAGAGGAAUAAUCAAAAGCAUGGAACAGCGGGCCGCGAAUGGGGGGCUUACCACAGGAGCAGCAGCCCAGCCUCACACUUGGAUAAGAGACGUUUGACAGCAGCAGCAGCACCAGCACCCGCGGUGGAGGUGGUGGUGGUGGAGGAGGCAGCGGUGGUGGUGGGUGGUGGUGGUGGUGGGGAGGCAGCGGUGGUGGUGGUGGUGGUGCUGCCGGAGAGAGAGAGAAAGAGAGUGAGAGAGAGAGGGGGGACUCGGUGAGGUGGUCUUGCUUUAAGCCGCGCCGCACGUGUCUAAACAACCUCUCCAUUACCGCGCGGGCCUCGGAGGUCGCUCCCUAUCGUGUCGGGGACCAAAGGUCGCGACCCCGGGGUCAACAGCGUUGCCGCGGAAGCCGCGUGGCCCCUUUGAGCGCUGCGCUGCUGUUUGCUUUAAGGAGCUAAAGAUUACCAACACAUUAACUAAUGCUGGUUAGAGGGGUCGCGACCCCCGGCACAGAGGUCCCUGGGGGGCGGAACAUCGCGUCUUAUUAACACGGCCUGACCUUUGACCCGGCCCCUCUCUCCCCCCCCCCACAGUCACCUCAGGCCGGUCGACUGUGGCCGCUGCCUCCCUCUCCGCUGACACGCAGGCAUGAACACACAGCGGCAACCCCCACUCCACACACACACACACACACACAGACACACACACGCACACACACAUACAGAUACACCAGACAUGAGAGCACACACACAAACACCAUACACACACACACACACACACACACACACAAAUACACCAGAUAUGAACACACACACACACACACACACACACGUACAGACACAUACCCAAACACCAGACAUGAAUAUACGCACGCACAAAGAAUAACACACAGGCACCAACACACCAGACAUGAUCAGACAAACACAUGCGUGCAAAAACUCCCACACCCAAAGACACACACACACACACACACACACACACACACACACACACACACACACACACACACACACACACACACACACACACACACACACACACACACACACACACACACACACACACACACAAGCACACAAACACACUUAUUUAGGUAAGGGAGAUUGAGAAUCCGCUAAACUAGUUUCUUCAGUUGUACUGCAAUAAUUGAAAAUGUCUGACAGAGGCUAAACAUUUAUUGAGCAGUACCUUAGUUAAAUAAUUUAUGCGUGUAUCGAAAGAUUUAAGAAUUUAAUUUGUGAUUCACAAAGCCUUUCAAACUGAUUUCUUUUUUAGGACGUUGACUUUUGCCUCUCUUUGUGUUCGUAAAAUGGGGGCAUGUGAGUAAAGUUCUGAUAACAAAAUGGUGGACGAGACAUGCGCAGUGUUGAUGUCCCAGAUAAUAUUACACGAUGAAAAGAGUGCAGUUCUGGGUUCUUUAAUCCAACUAUUUCAGCCCAAGCUUUUAUCGUAAAAAUGGGGAUGCACACUUUAGCUAACCCUGUAUAACUACGAUUCACCUUAAUGUUGUGUAUUCCAACACACCUAAAACGAUUUCAGUGUAUUCCAAAUUGCUAAAAUAAUUGGAUUAUCCACCCUAAAUAACUACUCCCUAAUAGUAUUUAUUAAAUAUAAUGUGAUUAUCUAGGGCGGAUUCCUCUGGGAUGGCUGAUUAAUGAUAAUCUCAGAAGUUCAAGGUCAUGCAAUCAAAUUAAAGGUAGCUGUUGAAAUUCAGUUGAAGUUUGCUAAAGAAUUAAUUUAACACAUAUUUCUAGCAUAUCAUUGAUAAUUCUUAGGCAUGUUUAUUUUGAGUUUGGCAGUGAUGGAAUCAGUUGCAAGAAUGUAUUUUCUAUAUAUUAUAUAUCUAUCAGCAAUAAAAAAAAGUAGUUCGUUAAAAGGAAGAAUUAUAGAGAAGAUGAAUUGUAUAAUCAUUUGAAGGUAUUUUAGUUUAUAAAGCAUAGAAAAUACAUUGAAAUAAAAACAAAAAAGGCCCCACCCCUGUAUAAUAAGAAACAGCUUUUUAAAGUGUUCAAAAGGAUUGCAAAUGAAUUAUAAAGUAUAAUAUUUAACAGUAUUAUUUUAGGUAGUACGGAUAAACACGAUAUAAUGACUUACGACGAUUUAUUUAACCAUCAACUCAGUUCUCAAUUCUUUAAUUCUUGAUCAAGUGUGAUAAAAUCAAAAUUAUGAAUACAUUUAAAUGUGAAUACAACCUACAACAAAGAAAAAAAUAUAUUCAUAGUUAUGAGGUCACUUCCAAAUAAAACAAAACAAUAGUUUAGUUUGAAUUACCUUUACAUUUCCUGGCAUUCUGUAUCACAUUUACACACUCUUUUUUAUAAUAUUUUGUUAAUUAGAAUAUAAAAUUGUUUUCUGUAUAUUAUUCUUCAAUACAUCAAACAUUCUUAGUAUAAAUCAAAAUGUCAAUCAGUUCAUGAGACACAUGAAGCUAUCCUAUGAAGUUUCAACCUGAGAAGAGAAUUGACCCCAACACGCAUAUUUGUAACCCAAAGUAGAAGGUCAUUUGUUAGGAAAUUAAUAUGCAUCACUUAGUUGAAUUCUGAAAUAAUGCCACACUUAGGUUAGGUUUUGCAAAUUUGGCUGAUUUACUUUAGUCAGGCUGAAAAUCAAAUAUUAAUCUAUUGUUUUUCCUUGAGGUUUGUUAUUCAAUUUACCCAGCAAAGAAUUGGUUUUCUUCUUUUUAUUUCUCUCAUUUUCACAUUUUCCAAACAUGCAUAAGAUAGCAUUUGGUCCACACACACUUGUUCAACACACACACACACACACACACACACUUGCACUUGAAUGCUUUUCAUGCUUUUUGAAGUGUUUUUUGUCCAUUCAUAGUGCAAUUGUAUCAACAAUGCAUCCAACAAUAAUUAAAUUAAUGCCUUAACCCCGUUUUUCAUAAAAUGUAAUAAAUAAGUAACUCAAGGCUAAAACCCAGCAAAGAAACACUUUUUGUAUCUGCGUUGAACUCACCUACUUGCUUUUACUUGCUCUUAGACGAUGUAGAAAUUUAAAAUGAAGGCGAGAAAGAGAGUGAGAGAGCACAAGAGAGAGCACGAGAGAGAGAGAGAGAGAGAGAGAGAGAGAGAGAGAGAGAGAGAGAGAGAGAGAGAGAGAGAGAGAGAGAGAGAGAUUCUUCUGUGGAAAUUUAGAAAAAACUAUGGAGCCUGAUAUGAGAACAGCCAGGAGAGAGGUCCUCUCCAAAAAGGGCUGUGCCCGGACUGUAACUAACAAGUAGUUCUGGUUCCCCUCCAGAGGCCAGCAUAUUGUCCUGUAGCGAGGGACAGCCCAAGUAGAGACGCAAGCCAGGGGUCAUUUUUACCAUUUCAUUUAACACCCUCCAUUUGGAAAGACAAAUCAAUUCAUUAAUUCAGGCAAUAUCCAAUGUUGUGUCUGAACAUGUGCCUCUAUCUAUCUUUCUAGAUAUAUCCUCUGUGUAUACAUGUACAAAUCUAUAAUCAUCAAUUUAUUUGCUUAUCUACCAAUCUGUAUGCGUGUACCUAUAGAUAUAGGACAUACUGCACACGUUCCAUACACAUGCUGUUUGUAAAUACACACACGAAUUUUGGUUGAAUUACCGGGAGUGGAACGAUAAUAAUAAUAAAACAAAUAUAGAAAUUAGUUUUGGCCUUUUGUGCUCCGGACCUCUACCUGUCCUGCACUCUACACACCUGGACGGCGUGGUUUAUAAACCGCCUGGACGGCUUCAUUUGGGAUGUUUAUCAACCACCAAAGUGUGCCAAGACCGGGACCCGAGAUCGAACAACGGGCCGAGAUCGGACGACAGGCCGACACAGAGCCAAGCGUGGGCGGGAGCGUCCGGAGACCAGGCCGGUCCCGCGGGGGUUAGGGGAAUCAUUACCAAGCUCUCCGCCCUGACCCAGUCCGCCACCGGGACCAAAGGCGUCCUCGUGCAUACACGCACACGCACACGCACCCGCACACACACACACGCACAGAUGAAUUGACAAAUAAACACACACAUAUGCUUUUACAUAAAACACGCUGACACACACACACACAGACGCACAAACACACACACACACACAAACACAGAACGCACGCACAAAGAAUAACACACAACGAUUAAUUUACAAAUAAACAAACACACACAAGCUUAUACAUAGACACACACACACAUACACACACAAAAACUCACAAACACACUUUGCCUUUCAAUAGUAUCAAGGACUUAUUGUUAUACUUUUUAAUCAGUUUCACAACACGUGCCUCCAUCUCCUGUCCCUCCUUACUCUCCUGUCAUACCUGAUUCACUCCUUCAUCUCCUAUCCCCCCUAACUCUCCUGUCAUACCUGAUUCACUCCCUCAUCACCUUUCCUUCCUUACUCUCCUAACAUACACAAUUUACUCCUUCAUCUCCUGUCCCUCCUAACUCUCCUGUCAUACCUGAUUCACUCCUUAAUCUCCUGUCCCUCCUCACUCUCCUGCCACACCUAGUCACUCGUUCAUCUCCUGUCCCUCCUCACUCUCCUGCCACACCUAGUCACUCGUUCAUCUCCUGUCCCUCCUCACUCUCCUGCCACACCUAGUCACUCGUUCA
ensembl:lncRNA